rnacentral:SRP_RNA from 1 species
CUCCUCCUCGAGUCCAAUGCCCCCCUUCAAACACCGUCGCCAAAAACAAACGUGAUGAAUUAA